rnacentral:rRNA from 1 species
AGGGCACAGGGCGGAUGCCUUGGCACUAAGAGCCGAUGAAAGACGUGAUAAGCUGCGAAAAGCUUCGGGGAGGAGCAAAUAUCCCGUGAUCCGGAGAUGUCUGAAUGGGGAAACCCGCAUGAGCAGACCUCAUGCAUCCAUACGCCAAUCCAUAACGUAUGGAAGGGAACCCGGGGAACUGAAACAUCUAAGUACCCGGAGGAAAAGAAAGAAACAUCGAUUCCGUAAGUAGCGGCGAGCGAACGCGGAGGAGCCUAAACCGGUGUGCGUGCAUGCCGGGGUCAUGGACUGCAUUUAAGAUUCAGCGAAGUUAACAGAACGGUUUUGGGAAAGCCGGCCGGAGAGGGUGAAAGCCCCGUACGUGAAAGCAGAGCUGACUGAGCAGGAUCCGGAGUACCACGAGACACGAGGAACCUUGUGGGAAGUAAGGGGGACCACCCCCUAAGGCUAAAUACUACUUAGUGACCGAUAGCGCAUAGUACUGUGAAGGAAAGGUGAAAAGGACCCCGGGAGGGGAGUGAAAGAGAACCUGAAACCCUGUGUCUAGGGCCAGAGUCAGUAGGAGUAGACCCGAAACCGGGUGAUCUAUCCAUGUCCAGGUUGAAGCUGCCGUAAGAGGUAGUGGAGGACCGAACCCACAUCCGUUGAAAAGGGUGGGGAUGAGGUGUGGAUAGGGGAGAAAUUCCAAUCGAACCCGGAGAUAGCUGGUUCUCCUCGAAAUAGCUUUAGGGCUAGCCUCGGUGUGAGUCUUGCGGAGGUAGAGCACUGAAUUUCCUAGGGGGCGUCAAAGCCUACCGAAGAAUAUCAAACUCCGAAUGCCGUGUAGAUAUCACCGGGAGUCAGACUGCACGAGAUAAGUUGGGCGGUCAAAAGGGAAAGAGCCCAGACCUACAGUUAAGGUCCCAAAGUGCGCGUUAAGUGGAAAAGGAUGUGGGAUUUCGAAGACAACCAGGAUGUUGGCUCAGAAGCAGCCAUACAUUCAAAGAGUGCGUAAUAGCUCACUGGUCGAGAGGUCCUGCGCCGAAAAUGUCCGGGGCUGAAACGCGCCACCGAAACUAAGGAAUCUGAAAAGAUUGGUAGAGGAGCAUUGCAUGCGGGAAGAAGCAGUACCGGAAGGAGCUGUGGACUGCAUGGAAGAGAGAAUGCCGGAAUGAGUAGCGAGAUAGAGGUGGGAAUCCUCUAGGCCGAAUAUCCAAGGUUUCCAGGGUAAAGCUGAUCUGCCCUGGGUGAGUCGGGACCUAAGGUGAGGGCGAGAGCCGUAGCCGAUGGACAACAGGUUGAUAUUCCUGUACUGCAGUAUGACAGAACUGUGGGGACACGUAAGGAGAGCGGGAGCCGGGAAUGGAAAGCCCGGUACAAGCGAGGUACCAGUCACAUAGGAAAAUCCGUGUGGCAAUGGGAAGACGUGAUGUGGAGUGAAUUUUAGUAACGAAGCCCGUGAGCCAUGCGUCAAGAAAAGCCGCUAUCGUUCAUAUUGUACCCGUACCGUAAACCGACACAGGUGGAUGAGGAGAGAAUCCUAAGGCCGGCGGAAGAAGUAUUGCCAAGGAACUCGGCAAAAUGGCCCCGUAACUUAGGGAGAAGGGGUGCCUGCGAGAGCAGGCCGCAGAGAAUAGGCUCAAGCAACUGUUUAGCAAAAACACAGGUCUAUGCGAAACCGAAAGGUGAGGUAUAUGGGCUGACGCCUGCCCGGUGCUGGAAGGUUAAGAGGAGAGGUUAGACGUAAGUCGAAGCUUUGAAUUUAAGCCCCAGUAAACGGCGGCCGUAACUAUAACGGUCCUAAGGUAGCGAAAUUCCUUGUCGGGUAAGUUCCGACCCGCACGAAAGGCGUAAUGAUUUGAGCGCUGUCUCGGCAAUACAUCCGGUGAAAUUGAAGUGCCAGUGAAGAUGCUGGCUACCCGCGCCAGGACGGAAAGACCCCAUGGAGCUUUACUCCAGUUUGGCACUGGGGUCCGGUGUUGCAUGUACAGGAUAGGUGGGAGGCUGAGAAACGGUAACGUCAGUUGCCGCGGAGCCGCUGUUGGGAUACCACCCUUGUGAUAUUGGGCUUCUAACCAGCCGCCGUAAUCCGGCGGUGGGACAAUGCCAGGCGGGGAGUUUGACUGGGGCGGUCGCCUCCGAAAGGGUAUCGGAGGCGCCCAAAGGUUCCCUCAGAAUGGACGGAAACCAUUCGAAGAGUGCAAAGGCAGAAGGGAGCUUGACUGCGACACCGACGGGUGGAGCAGGUACGAAAGUAGGGCUUAGUGAUCCGGUGGUAUUAAGUGGGAAUGCCAUCGCUCAACGGAUAAAAGCUACCCUGGGGAUAACAGGCUUAUCACUCCCAAGAGUUCACAUCGACGGAGUGGUUUGGCACCUCGAUGUCGGCUCAUCGCAUCCUGGGGCUGUAGUA